rnacentral:miRNA from 1 species
UUCGCAUUAUAAGUACAUCCCAUGAAAUAUUGGGGACAUACUUAUGCUAGAG